GAUGAAGGACGUAGUGAAAUGCGAUACGUAAUGUGAAUUGCAGAAUUCAGUGAAUCAUCGAGUCUUUGAACGCACAUUGCGCCCCCUGGUAUUCCGGGGGGCAUGCCUGUCCGAGCGUCAUUGCUGCCCUCAAGCACGGCUUGUGUGUUGGGCCUCCGUCCUCCUCCCGGGGGACGGGCCCGAAAGGCAGCGGCGGCACCGCGUCCGGUCCUCGAGCGUAUGGGGCUUCGUCACCCGCUCUUGUAGGCCCGGCCGGCGCUUGCCGACACAUCAAUCUUUUUUCCAGGUUGACCUCGGAUCAGGUAGGGAUACCCGCUGAACUUAAGCAUAUCAAUAAGCGGAGGA
rnacentral:misc_RNA from 1 species